GCAGGCCUAACACAUGCAAGUCGAACGGUAGCACAGAGAGCUUGCUCUCGGGUGACGAGUGGCGGACGGGUGAGUAAUGUCUGGGAAACUGCCUGAUGGAGGGGGAUAACUACUGGAAACGGUAGCUAAUACCGCAUAACGUCGCAAGACCAAAGAGGGGGACCUUCGGGCCUCUUGCCAUCAGAUGUGCCCAGAUGGGAUUAGCUAGUAGGUGGGGUAACGGCUCACCUAGGCGACGAUCCCUAGCUGGUCUGAGAGGAUGACCAGCCACACUGGAACUGAGACACGGUCCAGACUCCUACGGGAGGCAGCAGUGGGGAAUAUUGCACAAUGGGCGCAAGCCUGAUGCAGCCAUGCCGCGUGUAUGAAGAAGGCCUUCGGGUUGUAAAGUACUUUCAGCGGGGAGGAAGGUGUUGCGGUUAAUAACCGCAGCAAUUGACGUUACCCGCAGAAGAAGCACCGGCUAACUCCGUGCCAGCAGCCGCGGUAAUACGGAGGGUGCAAGCGUUAAUCGGAAUUACUGGGCGUAAAGCGCACGCAGGCGGUCUGUCAAGUCGGAUGUGAAAUCCCCGGGCUCAACCUGGGAACUGCAUUCGAAACUGGCAGGCUAGAGUCUUGUAGAGGGGGGUAGAAUUCCAGGUGUAGCGGUGAAAUGCGUAGAGAUCUGGAGGAAUACCGGUGGCGAAGGCGGCCCCCUGGACAAA
rnacentral:rRNA from 1 species